AUCCUCUAGUAGCUGAAGCUGCCAGCAUGAUCUGAUGAGGUGAGGUUUAUUUGCUAGUUGGUCACAGGCUAACAGCAUGAUGGCCCAACAAAUCAACGAUCAGAUCAUGCUGUGCAGUUUCAUCUGCUCGUGGA
rnacentral:pre_miRNA from 1 species